rnacentral:rRNA from 1 species
UACGUAGGGUGCGAGCGUUGUCCGGAAUUAUUGGGCGUAAAGAGCUCGUAGGCGGUUUGUUGCGUCGGCCGUGAAAACCUGCAGCUUAACUGUGGGCCUGCGGCCGAUACGGGCAGACUUGAGUUCGGUAGGGGAGACUGGAAUUCCUGGUGUAGCGGUGAAAUGCGUAGAUAUCGAGAGGAACACCUGCGGCGAAGGCGGGUAGCUGGGCCGACACUGACGCUGAUGCGCGAAAGCCAGGGGAGCGAACAGG